CGGUUUUCACCGUGAUCUGAGAGCAAUCCAAAAAUGCUUUUCUGAGAUCAUCGUGAAAGCUAGU
rnacentral:pre_miRNA from 1 species